UACGGAGGGGGCUAGCGUUGUUCGGAAUUACUGGGCGUAAAGCGCGCGUAGGCGGCUUUGUAAGUUAGAGGUGAAAGCCCAGGGCUUAACCCUGGAAUUGCCUUUAAGACUGCAUCGCUAGAAUCGUGGAGAGGUGAGUGGAAUUCCGAGUGUAGAGGUGAAAUUCGUAGAUAUUCGGAAGAACACCAGUGGCGAAGGCGACUCACUGGACACGUAUUGACGCUGAGGUGCGAAAGCGUGGGGAGCGAUCCGG
rnacentral:rRNA from 1 species